GACGAACGCUGGCGGCGUGCUUAACACAUGCAAGUCGAACGCUGAAGCUCAGCUUUUGUUGGGUGGGUGAGUGGCGAACGGGUGAGUAACACGUGAGUAACCUGCCCCCUUCUUUGGGAUAACGCCCGGAAACGGGUGCUAAUACUGGAUAUUCACUGGUCUUCGCAUGGGGGUUGGUGGAAAGGGUUUUUCUGGUGGGGGAUGGGCUCGCGGCCUAUCAGCUUGUUGGUGGGGUGAUGGCCUACCAAGGCUUUGACGGGUAGCCGGCCUGAGAGGGUGACCGGUAACAUUGGGACUGAGAUACGGCCCAGACUCCUACGGGAGGCAGCAGUGGGGAAUAUUGCACAAUGGGCGCAAGCCUGAUGCAGCGACGCCGCGUGAGGGAUGGAGGCCUUCGGGUUGUGAACCUCUUUCGCUCAUGGUCAAGCCGCAACAAUGGUUGUGGUGAGGGUAGUGGGUAAAGAAGCGCCGGCUAACUACGUG
rnacentral:rRNA from 1 species